GAUGAAGAACGCAGUGAAAUGCGAUAGGUAGUGUGAAUUGCAGAAUUACGUGAAUCAUCGAAUCUUUGAACGCAAAUUGCACUUUCUGGUAUUCCGGGGGGCAUGCCUGUCCGAGCGUCAUUGCUGCCCUCAAGCACGGCUUGUGUGUUGGGCCUCCGUCCUCCUCCCGGGGGACGGGCCCGAAAGGCAGCGGCGGCACCGCGUCCGGUCCUCGAGCGUAUGGGGCUUCGUCACCCGCUCUUGUAGGCCCGGCCGGCGCUUGCCGACACAUCAAUCUUUUUUCCAGGUUGACCUCGGAUCAGGUAGGGAUACCCGCUGAACUUAAGCAUAUCAAUAAGCGGAGGA
rnacentral:misc_RNA from 1 species